rnacentral:rRNA from 1 species
UACGGAGGGGGCUAGCGUUGUUCGGAAUUACUGGGCGUAAAGCGCACGUAGGCGGCUUUGUAAGUUAGAGGUGAAAGCCCGGGGCUCAACUCCGGAACUGCCUUUAAGACUGCAUCGCUUGAAUCAUGGAGAGGUCAGUGGAAUUCCGAGUGUAGAGAUGAAAUUCGUAGAUAUUCGGAAGAACACCAGUGGCGAAGGCGACUGACUGGACAUGUAUUGACGCUGAGGUGCGAAAGCGUGGGGAGCAAACAGG